GUAAUCAAUAGCUCAGUGGCAGAGCGGUGGGGCGUUUACCCAUGCGGCCCGGGUUCGAUCCCCGGUCGAUGCA